ACACGCUAGGUUUUUUGUUCGUCCUUUCCGUGAUCUUUCUUUAUCGCUCAUGAAAAGCAAAAACAUAAGAUUAUGUUACAAGAUGACGGUGUUUCGCCGUUUUUGUAGUAAGCCGGUUAUGACUGCCAAAUUCAAACGGAUGCAUUUUGCUUUGGGACGCUUCAAUGUUUCUGCUAAAUAUGGCUGAGGUUCAGAACAUACUAUGGUUUAUUUGGACUUCUCUGAUAGAAGCAAACAUUGCAAGUCCUUGAGCGCCGGUGCAGUUGCUUUGAAAGCAAUUUUGAGGACUGAAAUGAACUGUCAGGUCUGGGGGUCGAUAAUGAAGAAACCAUGUGGAUAAAUUCUUGACCACCAAGAUAUGAUGUUUCUAAAGCCAUGUUUUGGCGUUCUUUGGAUUUCCGCUUGCAACUGCUCUAAAAGCAGUAACCUCGGCUAGUAUUUCCACCGCCACCGGUGUACUAUCUGGGAUUGCUUUCCUAAACUCUUUUAGAUCAUGUCUGAGUCUGUCAAUGUCAAUAAAGGCACUUAGGUUUUCCGUUGCAUUAAUCUUGUUGCUUUUUGUGGCGCUUUUUGUUCUUUUCUGGCUGUGGCAUUCUCCUUUGAAAGCUCCUUGAGAGGUUGAACCGUGUCAUGCUCAAACAACUUCCUGUAGAACUUAUCUCUAUGCCUAUGGUUCCGGGUCCAACUAAGAGUGUGAAGCUAGGCUAUCAUACUUUUCUAAGUCUAGGGGUGGUAACAAUGCCGUCUUCACUAGCCUUACUAGAGACUGCUUCCUUGUUCAGCUUAUUGAUAAUUUCUGCUGCUACCAACACUUUUUUCAAAGAAAAAAGUUGUAUUACUUGCAAUUAUUUAAAAAUAUUGAGAAUGUAACUUAAUUCAUAACUAUAAAAAUCUCUUUCUUGAGUCUAAAAAGUGUUAGGUUAACCUAAUUGUGAAAUAUUUUGUAAUUUUUUAUUGGUAAUCAUCUAAAUACUAAGAUAAAAAUGACUCAAAUGAAAAAUUAAUAAUGGGGGGAAAGCUAUUUUAUUUUAUGAUCAAUGAUUUUGUAUUAAUAAUAUACCUAAUACAAAAUCAUUGUUGGGAUAGAAAUCAAAUUGUUCUUUUUAUAUUUUGUGGAGUUCUAUUAGUAGGUUCUUUUCUAUGGUUGUAUUCUCCUUUUUAGGGUUUUUUGGACUGUUUGGUCCUUGCUAGUUGUUACUCAUUUGGUCCUCCUUCGUGUAAAAAUAAUAAUGUUUAAUCUUUAUUUAUGGGUUCAUUGGCAAUGUGGGUGUAAGUAAAAACUGAAAAGUGUCAUUCAUGCUAUGGGGCAUAGAAAUAGUACAUUUCGAUGCUAGUGCGGAAGGUAUGUCAUUACUUCACGAGUACCGAGAUAUCUUGCCACGAGCCGCAGGCGAGUGGUAAGACUCGGGACGAGUGAAGAAUGACAUUUCCGCACGUGUAUCGAACGACGUUUUUUAAUACAGUUGCGAAAAAAUAAGAAAAACAUUGUUAAUCGUACACUAAACAAAAGUGGUAACAGUGACAGCUCGGUUAGACGUCGUCUUUAAGUAUAUUAUAUCUAUGGCGUUUGGCAGCUAUUCCGUUCCAUUCAGUCAACUUAUUAAGAACGGAAUUUUCAAUAUUGAAUAUUAAAAAAUAAACGUGUUAUAAUGAUGAAGAGGUAAGUAAUUAAAUAUGAAAUAUGUAAUAUUUUUCGUAUUCUUACAUUAACGGUAGGUUUUUAUGCUGAUUACGACGUUUAAAGGAAACUAAUAUUAACACUCAUCAAUAAGUAGUCGUGAAUUGGAACAAGUAUAAAUUUAAAAAAAUUGGAAAAGUAAAAAGCACUAGUUCGAGAUAACCAACUUUCCGCACGCUAAACAGCUACGUAAAGUAGCACUUUUUGAGCAACUGUAUUAAAAAAAA